rnacentral:lncRNA from 1 species
CUUCCUUCCUUAUAUUCUGGCUCCAUUACUAGACUUUAUAUCUUCAGGGAUCCUAGUCGGAUUCCUUUCCACUGUGCCACAAAGGGAACUCCCAGGGGGGAUCAUUCUUAGUCCGGGGGCUGGCUGGCUGUGGGCUGCGGAGGUGCCGUACCCAGGCUGCACCCCUUUUCUCCUCCGUGCGCUAGCCCAGGGGUUCAUAUCUUCACAGGCUAAGUGCUAAGGGCAAGACAAGAAGCACACAGCAGAGCACUUGGUGAAACCUGUCUGUGCACGUUUGCUAGCAUCUCAUUGGUCAAAGUAAGUCACAUGACUGAACUCAGCCCCGCAUUGCCGGAAGUAUAGCUUAUCUCUUGAUGGAAGGAACGGCGGAGGCACUUUGCAAAAAACGUGCAGACCGGGAGGGAUGGAUAAAUUGGGACCAUUAAGGUGAGUAAUGUAUCACCUCUAGAGUUUCUUAUUAUUACUCUUCUUUGAAACGUUUUACUGGCUCUUUCUGCAAACAUAUUCCUAUUUAUUUAUGUAUUUAUUUAUUUUGCUUUUUAGGGCUGCACCGGGCAUAUGGAGGUUCCCGGGCUAAGGGUUGAAUCCGAGCGGCCAACAUCACAGCCAUAGCAACGCCAGAUCUGAGCCACGUCUGUGACCUACACUACAGCUCAUCUCCACGCUGGAUCCUUAACCCACUGAGCGAGGCUGGGGAUGGAAGCCGCGUACUCAUGGAUACUAAGUUGUGUUAGCUACAGCUGAGCCGGGAUGGGAACUCCAGCUUUCUGGCAUUUAUUUUUCUGAAUAUUUUCUAUUCGAGAUCAGUUGAAUAUGUGGGUGUGGAACCCCGUGGAUAUUGGGUUCUGACUGGAACUAUUUUUCAGGCAGCAAGUAAGGCCAGCUCUUUACGAGAAUGCAAGCUUAAGCUCUGCAAGGCCAAGGAUUGUCCCUUGUUGAUGUUUUAUCCCUCGUCAGCUCCAACCUGUGGCCAAGUUCCUGGCAGAAGUUCCUGGACCAUGGAUAGAACCUGUGCCAUGGCCACCACUCAAGCCUCAGCAGGGACCAUGCUGGAUCCUUAACUUGCUGCACCGCCAGGGAGCUCUGCCCUGCAGCUUUGCUUGGUUUAAGCCCAUCAGGGCCUCUGAUCCACUAUGAGAUCCAAGCAUGGUAGAGACAGGGAGGCAUCUUGAAACUCUUCAAUCCAGCUUCACCCUCUUGCAGGUGAGGAAACUGAGACAUCUGGGUGUACGUUACGCGUCAUUCCGUUAAACAGAGGCUGAGCAGCGGGAUCGGGCCUGUUGUCUGGUUCCCAGGACCGUGUGCCGUGUUGUGCAGAACCUGCAUCCUCUCUGUUCUCUUUGGGCCUCAGCAGUGGUUCUGAGUCCGGAUGCUUCGCCCGAUGACAGCCAAUGAGCAUGGGAUUGCGAUGAUUAAGCUGCCUUAUCCAUUAGCUGGAAAGCAAAAGAAGAAAGGGCAACAGACAGGUGCCUUUGUUUAUUCUACACCUGUCUACUGAGUGCUACCCGAGUCUGUACUUCGCUAGGCCCGAGGACACAGCAGAGGACGAGGAUGUGAAACUCACCAGUGACUGGGAAGCAGAGUCCCGAGAGAAAGUUUGAAGCAGAAGCUCUGAAGCCAGCAGAGGAAACUGGGAAGGAACAUGCAGAAAUGUCAGAGGGGAAUCACAGGGGCAUGAUGUCCUGGAAACUACAGGAGGAAAGUGUUCAAGAAAGUUCUCUGGGAGUAAGUUGGCUUGAGGAGCAGGGGUGGUGUGUCCUGCUCCAUAUAGUCCGUGGAGACAUAGCCCUUUUACGCUGUGGCUCUGUAAUACCUCUGCACUUUGAACUCGAAGCUGAAUCGCCAGCAUCAGGCCUGCAGAUGGUGGAAGAGGAAGGAUCACCGGUGACAGCUUCUUCAUGGACCAGUGUCCUUCACCAACAUUCAACUGGCUGGAGCUUAAUCCCAUUGCGACGCCCAACAGCAAGGGAGGCUGUGACUUGUAGUCUGAAUCAUCCCUAGAAGGUGGUCCACAGGCUGGAGAAGCCCAAGGGAAGAAGGAUGCUGAGUUACGAUGGGUGGUCCUGAUGGUGCAAAGGCAGGGAAUGGACCGAGUAUCCAGGGUGAAUUUCCUGGCAGGAGAGGAGACGAUAACAAGGCUCCGAAGAGAAAAAGAGAAAGGAGAACAAAGGAAAACACUGGUUGACACCACUCCAGAAAAGCUAUCUGACUGAUAUUUGCCAUGAUUGUGUCACAUGGUGAGUUUAGGAGUUCCCAUCAUGGCGCAGUGGUCAACGAAUCCGACUAGGAACCAUGAGGUUGUGGGUUUGAUCCCUGUCCUUGCUCAGUGGGUUAAGGAUCCGGCAUUGCCGUGAGCUGUGGUGUAGGUCGAAGACACAGUUUGGAUCCCGACUUGCUGUGGCUGUGGUGUAGGCUUGCAGCAACAGGUCCAAAUUGACCCCUAGCCUGGGAAUCUCCAUAUGCCACGGGUGCAGCCCUAAAA